ensembl:snoRNA small nucleolar RNA SNORA5
UGCAGCCGUGUCAAAUUCGGUGCCUGCCCCCCAUGGCAGGCAUUGGUCCAGAAGGCUGCCAUAGAAACACUGUGGCACAUGGGCCCUGGUCCCCUCUGCUGGGCCUCAGGGAUAAAUUUGGCUACAGACACCA